GUAAACCAGCAGGUUCUGGAACUGGUAGGGUAAGAGUUGAAUACCCCUGUCCUAUAGGAGGCUCACUAUAGGCUGGCUGUAGAACAGUAAACCAGCAGGUUCUGGAACUGGUAGGGUAAGAGUUGAAUACCCCUGUCCUAUAGGAGGCUCACUAUAGGCUGGCUGUAGAACAGUAAACCAGCAGGUUCUGGAACUGGUAGGGUAAGAGUUGAAUACCCCUGUCCUAUAGGAGGCUCACUAUAGGCUGGCUGUAGAACAGUAAACCAGCAGGUUCUGGAACUGGUAGGGUAAGAGUUGAAUACCCCUGUCCUAUAGGAGGCUCACUAUAGGCUGGCUGUAGAACAGUAAACCAGCAGGUUCUGGAACUGGUAGGGUAAGAGUUGAAUACCCCUGUCCUAUAGGAGGCUCACUAUAGGCUGGCUGUAGAACAGUAAACCAGCAGGUUCUGGAACUGGUAGGGUAAGAGUUGAAUACCCCUUUCCUAUAGGAGGCUCACUAUAGGCUGGCUGUAGAACAGUGUAGGAUGGGAUAUGUACCUCAGGCUUUUUGCAUAAUAUAGCAUUUUGUUUUUCUCCACAAAACCUUGAUAUUUGAUCAUUUCAUUUACAAUAGAAUGUGAUCUCGGUCACAACCAGACCAUUUAGAGUACAAUCAUAUGGAUAUUUUCUUAUUAAUUUUAGUUUUAGCGUCAUUUUAUAGUCCAAAACAAUCUAACUGGUGAAAAAUACUUCAAAAUGCUAUACAGCAAUAGCAUUCAUAAUCGGCAUCUCUAUAAGUCAUAUAUUAAAGAUUUCAAUAUUUCGAAAAAAAAUUAUGCAAU
ensembl:lncRNA